rnacentral:rRNA from 1 species
GUCAACGACCAUACCGUGUUCUCGUCCGAUCACCGAAGUUAAGCAACAUCGGGCAUGGCUAGUACUCAGGUGGGUGGGUGACCACUUGGGGAAAACCAUGUGUCGUUGGCA